UACGUAGGUGGCGAGCGUUGUCCGGAUUUACUGGGCGUAAAGAGCGCGCAGGCGGUCGCUCAAGUCGCGUGUGAAAGCCCCCGGCUCAACUGGGGAGGGUCACGCGAUACUGAUCGACUCGAAGGCAGGAGAGGGUAGUGGAAUUCCCGGUGUAGUGGUGAAAUGCGUAGAUAUCAGGAAGAACACCCGUGGCGAAGGCGGCUCUCUGGUACGGAACUGACGCUGAGACGCGAAAGCGUGGGGAGCGAACAGG
rnacentral:rRNA from 1 species